AGUUUCCAUAAGUAAAGUUUUAUUGCAAUACAAUCAUGCCCACUCUUUUACAUAGUUUGACUGCUUUAGCACUGCUAUGGGAGAGUAAAUAGAGCAUCAGAGACCAUCUGGCCCGCACAACUUGAAGUUUUUACCAUCUGAUCCUUUACAGAAGCUUUGCUGACUCUUGGUCUAAACUAAGAAAUAAACAUUGUUACAUUACUAUUAACCAAAGUACAGCUAAUGUUUCACCAGGCAAUCCAGGAACCACAUUUCAUGCAGCAACUGCUAUUGUAUGGGGAGCCUUUUUCCCUGCCAGGUGCACGGUAGUCCCACUUGGGAAAAUAUUCCUGUCUAAGAAAUGAAUUUCAGCUGGCCACUUGAAAAGGGUUUGUUUUUGUUGUUUGUUUGGAGUUGUUUGCGUGCUUUACACAAUGGGCAGACAGUUGAAUACAACAUCUGGGCUCGGAACGCUGUGAACUUGAAGAUGGAGGAAGAGCUAUAUUUGUUCAAGCGGCCCAAGCGCUGGGCCGAGGCAGGGUACCAACUCAGGCCCUCGGAAAGAGAGGGCUCCGGAUGUGCCCGGUUCGGCGUGAGGCGUGCCCUGCCCCACGCGGUCCCGGCCCCGGCCCCCUGUCCUUUGUCUCGUCUGCCCGCGCGCAGGCCUGUGAACGCGGCGCUCUCGCUUUCUCCGGCCGCUGCGGCUUUCGGCGGGCUCCGCGGCGCGGGCGGCGGCGUCCUGUUGCCGGGCAACGGCCGCGCAGGCAUCUCCCGUCGCCGCCAGGGCCGAGACACAUCCGCACCAGCCAGUCAGCGCGCCAGCCUGUGGCCUGAUUUCUCCCGCUCCAUUGUUGCAGCAAACACAAAAGCCUGCACCGCCGGCGGAGUCGCCGCGCCUGCGUUGAACCACCUCGCCGCACCGCAGCUCCUGCCCCAUCGCGCUCUCCCGAAUUCCUGCGGCUGCCGUUGCUACGGAACACAAACUUGA
rnacentral:lncRNA from 1 species